rnacentral:rRNA from 1 species
AACGAACGCUGGCGGCGCGUCUUAAGCAUGCAAGUCGAGCGAUAGCCCAGCACCUAAUUAUUUCCUUGUUUUAGGAGGGAAAAAUGUAUUAUGUGUAUGUGAUUGUGAACGAAGAAGAUAAACCGUAUAUAGGGUUUACUUCUGAUUUAGACAAGCGGUUGAAAGCACAUAAUUCGAACGCAAACGAGAGUACCGAAGGCCAUAAAUGGCGAUAUGCGUAUUAUGAAGCGUUUGCGGACAGAGAAGAUGCAGUUUUGCGUGAACGGCGGUUAAAGGACCACGGUCAAAGCAAACGGCAAUUGAAAGCCCGAAUAGAACGGAGUAUGAAGAGGAAAUAAUUAGGUGCUGGGUGAAAGCGGCGGACUGGUGAGUAACGCGUGGGUGAUCUGCCUUUGGGCUGGGGAUAGCCGUUAGAAAUAGCGGGUAAUACCGAAUACGCCCGACCACUCGUGAGUGGUCGGGGAAAGGGGCUUUGGCCCCGCCCGAAGAUGAGCCCGCGUCCCAUUAGCUGGUUGGGGGUGUAAAGGACCACCAAGGCGAAGAUGGGUAGCCGGCCUGAGAGGGUGAACGGCCACACUGGGACUGAGAUACGGCCCAGACUCCUACGGGAGGCAGCAGCUAAGAAUAUUCCGCAAUGGACGAAAGUCUGACGGAGCGACGCCGCGUGGAUGAGGAAGGCCGAAAGGUUGUAAAAUCCUUUUAUUGCUGAAGAAUAACCGGUGCAGGGAAUGGCAUCGGGAUGACGUUAGGCAAUGAAUAAGCCCCGGCUAAUUACGUGCCAGCAGCCGCGGUAACACGUAAGGGGCGAGCGUUGUUCGGAAUUAUUGGGCGUAAAGGGCGCGUAGGCGGCUGUUUAAGUCUGAUGUGAAAUCCCCGGGCCCAACCCGGGAACUGCAUUGGAAACUGGGCAGCUUGAGUCACGGAGGGGGAAUCGGAAUUCCUGGUGUAGGGGUGAAAUCUGUAGAUAUCAGGAAGAACACCGGUGGCGAAGGCGGAUUUCCAGCCGAUGACUGACGCUGAGGCGCGAAAGUGCGGGGAGCAAACAGGAUUAGAUACCCUGGUAGUCCGCACUAUAAACGAUGCACACUAGGUGUCUGGCCGAGCGGUUAGGUGCCGAAGCGAACGCGAUAAGUGUGCCGCCUGGGGAGUAUGCCCGCAAGGGUGAAACUCAAAGGAAUUGACGGGGGCCCGCACAAGCGGUGGAGCAUGUGGUUUAAUUCGAUGAUACGCGAGGAACCUUACCUGGGUUUGACAUGCAGGGGAAUGGCGGAGAGAGUCGUCAGUGUAGAAAUACACCCCUGUGCAGGUGCUGCAUGGCUGUCGUCAGCUCGUGCCGUGAGGUGUUGGGUUAAGUCCCGCAACGAGCGCAACCCCUACUGCCAGUUACCAUCAUUAAGUUGGGGACUCUGGCGGAACUGCCGGUGACAAACCGGAGGAAGGUGGGGAUGACGUCAAGUCAUCAUGGCCCUUAUGUCCAGGGCUACACACGUGCUACAAUGGGCGGUACAGAGCGGAGCGAAGCCGCGAGGCGAAAGCGAAUCGCAAAAAGCCGUCCGUAGUUCGGAUUGAAGUCUGAAACCCGACUUCAUGAAGUUGGAAUCGCUAGUAAUCGCGCAUCAGCACGGCGCGGUGAAUACGUUCCCGGGC